rnacentral:rRNA from 1 species
UGCGUAGGCGGACUAAUAAGUCAGUGGUGAAAUCUUUCGGCUCAACCAAGAAACUGCCAUUGAUACUGUUAGUCUUGAGUUCGGUUGAGGUAGGCGGAAUGUGUAAUGUAGCGGUGAAAUGCUUAGAUAUUACACAGAACACCAAUUGCGUAGGCAGCUUACUAGACCGACACUGACGCUGAGGCACGAAAGCGUGGGGAGCGAACAGGAUUAGAUACCCUGGUAGUCC